rnacentral:misc_RNA from 1 species
CAACCCUCAAGCCUGGCUUGGUGAUGGGGCACUGCCUGUAAAAGGGCAGGCCCUGAAAUAUAGUGGCGAGCUCGCCAGGACCCCGAGCGCAGUAGUUAAACCCUCGCUUUGGAAGGCCCUGGCGGUGCCCUGCCGUUAAACCCCCAACUUUUGAAA